CCUACCCCACAGAGAGGGAGAAACUAAGAGCUCCUGUGGACUGGGCCCAGCUCAGGUGACCUGGGGCUGCCAGCCUGAGGCAGUCCUUGACUGAACGCAAUGGAGGGAGACCGCUGGCCAGUCACUUGUUCAGGAUCCCUUUGCCUCAGCACAGGCCAUGUAAGCCCUGAUUCCCUUCCCCACCCCUGCUUUGGGUAAGGCUGAAGAACUGGAGCAGAAGAAAAAAGAACUUGCUUUUAGGCAUUUGAUCAUCCUGUUUGGAUCCCAAAUAGGAAAAAUAAUCAAUGGCUGAUUUAUUCCUAUGGACAAGAUGAUUUGAAGUGGCUUCCAUUCGUUGACAGAAUGAUCUGAGUGGAACUGUGUCCCGUUGAUAAACUGUGAUGAAAUGUUAUUCGUUGGAUGUAUAAAGUUAGAAGUCAAGAGAAAUCAUUGUGGCUUACAGGAUGCUUCUUCAGCUGUCAGUCAUUUCUUGGCAUUUGAUCAUAUCAUUCUCUCUGUUCUCAUCAUAUUGGAUUCUGUUGUCUGUUAUUAAUUGAAGCAUGACUUUCCUUUCAAAACUACAUCGAAGAGCACAGACUAUAGAAAUGGAAGAAGUUUUGCUCUUACUUUUUCUGGCUUCUCAGCUGUCUGGUUCUCCCCUGAGUAGCCUUACUUCCUUAUUGGUACACUUCAAAUAUCACAAACAAAUAUGCCCCACUUUCAAAGAUGCUCUAUAUAAAAGGUAACUUCCUACAAGCUGACCUUAUUCAAUAUCUCUUCCAAUGGCCUCACGGAGAUACAAACUUUACAUUAAAAAAACCUUGCUAUGAGUUAAGAGCCACUGAAAGGCACUGAGAAACGAAGACAUGAUGGUGCAUCCCAGAUGGCUACAUUUCACCAGCAUAAUAUUGAGAGAAAAAGGCCAGCACAAAGUACAUGUACAGUGUGAGUCCAUUCAUACAAAGUUUAAAAUAAAAUGAGACUAAUCAUUCAUGUUAGAAGUCAGAAGAAUCACAACCCUUAGGUUUGGUGGCUGAGAUGUCAGUAGUAGGAAAGGUUUUUUAAACAUAGAAAGUUUAUGCGUGGACUUGAGCAGUGUAGACUUCCUAGACACUCAGGCUCCAUCGUUCCGUCCUGCCUUGGGGUCCACCUGCUCAGAAGACACUAAUCUCAGAGCCUGCCUCUUUCCCCAUGUAUCCAUUUGACCUUGACCUUCACUUCUCACAUCCACACAGGAGUUUGUUGCAGGUGUUUGAUGAGUGAAUGAAUGCUUAACAGAUACACUCCACUUCUAAAAGAAUUCCUAAACAUAUUGUACACAUAUGGAAGCUUUUAUUACUACUACUAUACAAGGCCAUUUUCAUGCCAAGUGGAUAAUAUAUUCUGAGCAUAUUCCUCCCCCCCAACACUUACAUUGCGUGUAUGUUAUGUUGCAAUAAAAAUAUACUAGCUAUAAAUAUAAUUAAGGACUACUUUGAAAGGUUUUCUGUCAUUAACUGAGAAGAGGUGGAAUUGAGGGGAAGCAACCACAGGCCAUCUCUGGGUUCCUUUCAGGCAUUGUUGAGUGAAGGUAGAUGCAAAGAUUAUUAAACCAUCCUUUGUGCAUGAUGGGUAUUGUCUUGGAGCUGCUGGAUUUGAAGUACUCACAAAUCAUGGAACCACGAUCAAAUUCAAAAAAGAACAAAUGAGAUGGGGAAUAUAUUCAGGAGCUGUCAGUCUAGCAGUGACAGACAGGGAAGGUGGGAUUGGCAACAGAAAAGGGUGCUGUGAGAAGAGGUGGGCUACAGAAGGAACAAGACAAGGACUCUGGACUAUAUAUAUCCGCCUCCAUGGACAUGGGCAGUGUAAACGUCCUGGACACUCAGCCUCCAUUGCUUCGUCCUGCCUUCAAGUCCAUCCUGCAUAAAAGGAGGUGCUAAUCUCAGAGCCUGCCUCUUUUCCCACUUAUCCAUUUGAAUUUGACCUUCACUUUUCACAUUCACACUGGACUUUCUUGCACGUGUUUGAUGAGUGAAUGGAUACUUAACAGGUGAAGAGCAAGAAAGGAUAUUAAAUUAAGCCCAAAGCAAUGUCUUGAACUGCCCGGCGGUCCGCAUCCCCAGAAGAGAACCUGCUCUCAACAGGGAGACAAUAAUGGAUGGGCACAAGCAGACUGAUAUGGCUCAGAGAAAACUUUCUGGAAUCAGAGGCAGGAGGGAUUGACCAUUGGCAUGAUAGCAUCAUGGGGCAGAAAGGCUGUUCUCAUGCAUCCUCAAGGUUGAGGAUGCUAAAACAAAAAGAAGAUGAAGUUGUGUUCUAAGGUCACCACCCCCACGCAGCUGUAGAAGUGGAGCUUGAUCACAGGUGGUCAGUCUAUUUAGAGGUACACACUCUACGCAUCCUUCUGGGGAGGCCAUUUCAGCUGUAAUCCUGUCUCUCUUUGAAAAAGACCAUCAGCUUUCUCUCACCUUGGUACCCCACACUAGGAGGACAGCUUGCAGAGGGAACCGCACAGGAUAAUGGCAAGAAGAACCUCACAGAGUUUUCCAUUCCCUGGACUCAGGAACUAGAGGAACAAGCAAAGCAGACUCUUGCAACCAGACUGUCUAUGGAGAUCAACUACAGACAUGGAGAUGAAGGCAACUCAAAAGACCUGAGCCAAGCAUCUACAGAAGCACAGAAAGGCUGGGAAUGGGAGGCCUCUCAGUAGCUUCUGCUUUCUCCAAGCAUCAAACUCAUCUGCAGAUUUUGCUGAAUGAAAAGCAUACCAUGCUUAGUGCUUGCAAACAGGACACAAUUUAUCCAAAGAAUUUAAAACAGUGGCGGGGAAGCCUUUUGUAUAGAAAACAUGGCUCUUAUGAACUCUAAUACUCAGUGACUAAGGAGAGACAAAAUGAGGUGCCUAGCUCAGGGUAGGAGCAGUAAGUAAAAUACAAAUUCAGCCCCGUCUGAAGUCCCAGGCCACCGUCCAUCAGUCCUUUCUCUGCACUGUUGCCUACCUGCAAGACUGAGAUGAUCCCAAAUGAAGUUUACAAUGAAUUUCUCCUCCUGAAGGCAAACCCUUAUAGCAAGGAGCAGAAGUUGGAAGCACAUUUGUGAUUCAUGAGUUAGCACAAUGUGCAAGGCAGCCCUAAGUAUUCCCACUACACUCAACACUUCUGCUACCGGGGAACUCCCAGGUUGAUUGCACAAGGUUGAGGCCACUGGUUUAAGAAGCAUCAUAAAAGUGUGCCCAGUGCAAAAUCAGAGAAUAGGGCUAUCCCCAGCAACCCAUAGAGAUGUCUCUGGAGUCAGGGCUCUAAGAACUCCUGUAUCAGAGAGCUGAUGAGUGGCACUUCCUGAAUGACUGAACGUCUCAGCUCCUUUAAUCCUCAUUACACCAUAUAAAACAGCUCUCUCUGUCAGCCCCAUCUCUCAGAUGAAGACACUAAGGCUCAGAGCAGUCUAAGAUUCUGCCAUUAAUUUGUAGGAGUUGGAAGAGGGGAAACUUGAUGGAAUCUAUUUUCCUCUGCUGCCUCUAAGCUACCCAGGGUAUUAUUAAAGCAGACAUUCUAAGGAAGGGUUGGGGGAUAGGCAUUGUGCUAAGCUCCUUGGGUGAUUCUCAUAUACACAGAGUAGGGGCUUUGUAAUAUAGUAUACAUUGGAGAAGCAAGAGAUUUCUUUAACAAGAAUACUGCUCCCUCACUCAUCUCAUUAAGUAGACUCUGCAUUUCUUGGAGGAGCAGAAGUUUCCUACUUGAUACCCUCCCCCACCCACUAUCCCCAGGAUUAUUCCCAGCAUGAAAAGCAGCCACUAUGAGCCCAGUAGGAAGGCUAUGGAUCCAAAGUAUGGAAGCCAUUGUGCCUGGUUAUCAUCAUAGUAGCUCAGGUGGGUCUCUGCAGCAGAUUUGGUCACCCUUGGCAUUCUUAUCUGUUUGAUGGAGAUAAUGUCAAAGGAGGAAUUUUUAAAUAAUAAUGUCAUUUAAAUAAAUUAUAUUUCCUGAGGUUAUUCUGUGAUGAGCAUUCUGCUGUGCCUGGACCUCUGGCACACACUGACUUGGUUCCUCAAGGCAUCUUCUAGGUAGAUACUUUCACUGUCUUGUCACAGAUAAACAGCUUUUCAGCAAGACAGGCUGCUUGGGUGAGCAAUGAUAAGGAAAAGUCUUAUAGCCUAGGCACCUCAGAUUCCAUGUCACUUCUUCUUUCCCACACACCUGGCCAAUGUGAUCAUCUUUUUCUCUAUCCUAUGGAUAUAAUGAGUCAAAUGAAAUCACAGAUCUACCAGUAGGUACAGGCUGGGCUAGGUUGUGAUUAAAACACAGCUCUAAAGAUCAGUGCCUAAAAACAGUAAUCCUUUAUUCCUUACUCUCUCCACAUUUCCCUUAGGAGUCAGCUGCAUGGUUCUGUAUAGAAUGAUCACCUAGGGGCCUGAAAGGAGCAUCCACCACCCUGAAUGACUCAUGGGAAGCAGAGCCAAACCAUGCAGGCCCAGCGCUAGCUUCUGCUUGGUUACAAGCAAUGUAUGUCACAUCAACUAAUAUUCCAGGGACCAAGGCAAGUCUGGGCCAAGCUUCCAGUCCACGAGUGGGAAAGCAUUCCAGAGCAGAGAGAAAACACUAGUUGUGAACAAAUAACUAAUCUGCAUAGGAUACAUGGAUUCAAAGAAUGCUUUGGACAGUGCUCAACAGAAACAGCAUGAAGAAUGCUUCUCCCUGUGGAGGCAUGGUGGCAGCUCGUGCUCCAAGCUGAGCCUCCACAUGCUGCAAAUCCACCAGCAUCUCCUCUGCUAUCAGGAAUCUAAUUAUUACUCUGCUCUCUGCUCAAUUAUUAAAGACAAGGCAGUGAAGAGCCACGGAAGAGGGGAAGUCUGUUUUGCAGCAGUGACAAACUGUAUUUCAUAUGCAUAAAAGACCGUUGCUUUUACUCUUAUAAUUGCAAUUUCCUGCUCGUUUCCUUUUCAAAUUAGUGAAUGUAAUUGUUUGGUAAUAAAAUAUCAGCAUAAUAUAUUAGAGGCAGAGAACAGACGGGCUUAAGGGACAGUUGCCAAGAACAAGAGGGAGAGAAAAGAUUGAGUAGAAUCAGAGUGCACAGACCUUGCAAGUCUUUUUCAAAGUGUGGGUUAGAUUAGUUUCUAGAACUCUCCCUGCUGUCCCUUCUAGACUCUUCUGGAACCAAUGGGUGAUAUACACAAAUCAAUAUUCCCACACUAUUCUAAAAUUCACAUCUAUACAAGUCAAAGCUGAGAGGGAGGGAGAGAGAAAGGGGGAGAGAGAGAGAGAGAGAGAGAAAGAGAGAGAAGAGAGAGGAGAGAGAGAGAGAGAGGGAAUGAACUGACAGGAUGUCUGUAGGGCAGAAAAGCUUUGGGAUCACACUUAAAUUUGUUACCAGAUUCACACUAAGUGGUCAUAUCACCCUGGGAAGAUCACUGAACUUUGAGUCUCCAGUCAUUCACUACAAAGUAAGAGUAAAAAAAUUAUUCUUGAUAUAGUCAGUUUUCUUCCGGGAUGUGGUUCCUGGUAGGUUGCCUAUACUCUAGCAAAUGGCCCUAUACCCAGGCACAUACCAGCAGAAGCAACUGGACUCAAUGAGCUAAUAAAAAGAAAAUAUAAGGUUAGGAGAGGGUGUGGC